rnacentral:rRNA from 1 species
GAUUAUGGCUCAGGAUGAACGCUGGCGGCGCGCCUAACACAUGCAAGUCGAACGGUUAAAGCCCCUUCGGGGGUGCAUAAAGUGGCGAACGGCUGAGUAACACGUGGGCAACCUGCCCCCCGCUUCGGGAUAGCCUCGGGAAACCGUGGGUAAUACCGGAUACUCCGCCCACCCCGCAUGGGGAGGGCGGGAAAGCGCAUACGGCGGGGGAUGGGCCCGCGGCCUGUUAGCUCGUUGGCGGGGUAACGGCCCACCAAGGCUAUUAUGGGUAGCCGGGUUGAGAGACCGACCGGCCAGAUUGGGACUGAGACACGGCCCAGACUCCUACGGGAGGCAGCAGUGGGGAAUCUUGCACAAUGGGCGAAAGCCUGAUGCCAGCGACGCCGCGUGCGGGAUGAAGGCCCUCGGGUUGUAAACCGCUUUCAGCAGGGACGAGGCGCAAGUGACGGUACCUGCAGAAGAAGCCCCGGCUAACUACGUGCCAGCCGCGGC